CAAGGACUGCGUUAGAUUAUUACAGCAUAUCUAACAGUGGUCAUCCAACCCAUUAAUCUACAAGCUUGGUGCCAAAAAUUCUGUAAUUCCUACUUCCCCAAGUGUUAUUUCUGUCAAGGUAAUAGGAUUUUAUGCAACACUGCACCCAAGGUGGUUUUCUUGCAGCAUCCUCAAUUUCUUUGCCAUCAUCAUUUACGGGCACACCAAGCAAUUUGUUUCGCUUCCUUGUUAAUACAUCAAUGGAGGGAUACCCAUAAAAAAACUUCUCCCCAUCUUCAUCAAACAGAAAGGCAUGGAUUCUAGCAGUUGGAUCCUCCAUGGUCAGUCUAAUCCUGUAGGUUCCACUAUGAGAGCAGAAAUCCUCAACACGCCAUGGUAAUCCAGCCACUACUCGAAC
rnacentral:misc_RNA from 1 species